GACGAACGCUGGCGGCGUGCUUAACACAUGCAAGUCGAACGGAAAGGCCCUGCUUUUGUGGGGUGCUCGAGUGGCGAACGGGUGAGUAACACGUGAGUAACCUGCCCUUGACUUUGGGAUAACUUCAGGAAACUGGGGCUAAUACCGGAUAGGAGCUCCUGCUGCAUGGUGGGGGUUGGAAAGUUUCGGCGGUUGGGGAUGGACUCGCGGCUUAUCAGCUUGUUGGUGGGGUAGUGGCUUACCAAGGCUUUGACGGGUAGCCGGCCUGAGAGGGUGACCGGCCACAUUGGGACUGAGAUACGGCCCAGACUCCUACGGGAGGCAACAGUGGGGAAUAUUGCACAAUGGGCGGAAGCCUGAUGCAUCAACGCCGCGUGCGGGAUGACGGCCUUCGGGUUGUAAACCGCUUUCGCCUGUGACGAAGCGUGAGUGACGGUAAUGGGUAAAGAAGCACCGGCUAACUACGUG
rnacentral:rRNA from 1 species